GCAUUCUCGAGCCAAAAGUGUGAAACGCCUAUGCGGGGAAAUCAGUCCACUGGACUGAUUUCUGAUCCCGCUUUGAUGCGUCGGAUAAUGUGACAAAACAAAUAGUUAGAGCGGUUUCUGCGAUUCUGUUCAAACAGGAACCGCUCUAGAUUCGGCG
rnacentral:misc_RNA from 1 species